GCAAGUCGAGCGCGCCCUUCGGGGUGAGCGGCGGACGGGUGAGUAACGCGUGGGAACGUGCCCUUUGCUGUGGAAUAGCCACUGGAAACGGCGAGUAAUACCGCAUGAGCCCUUCGGGGGAAAGAUUUAUCGGCAAGGGAUCGGCCCGCGUUGGAUUAGGUAGUUGGUGGGGUAAUGGCCCACCAAGCCGACGAUCCAUAGCUGGUUUCAGAGGGUGAUCAGCCACACUGGGACUGAGACACGGCCCAGACUCCUACGGGAGGCAGCAGUGGGGAAUCUUAGACAAUGGGCGCAAGCCUGAUCUAGCCAUGCCGCGUGAGUGACGAAGGCCCUAGGGUCGUAAAGCUCUUUCGCCUGUGAAGAUAAUGACGGUAGCAGGUAAAGAAACCCCGGCUAACUCCGUGCCAGCAGCCGCGGUAAUACGGAGGGGGUUAGCGUUGUUCGGAAUUACUGGGCGUAAAGCGCGCGUAGGCGGACCAUCAAGUUGGGGGUGAAAUCCCGGGGCUCAACCCCGGAACUGCCUCCAAAACUGGCGGUCUGGAGUUCGAGAGAGGUGAGUGGAAUUCCGAGUGUAGAGGUGAAAUUCGUAGAUAUUCGGAGGAACACCAGUGGCGAAAGCGGCUCACUGGCUCGAGACUGACGCUGAGGUGCGAAAGUGUGGGGAGCAAACAGGAUUAGAUACCCUGGUAGUCCACACCGUAAACGAUGAAUGCCAGUCGUCGGCAAGCAUGCUUGUCGGUGACACACCUAACGGAUUAAGCAUUCCGCCUGGGGAGUACGGCCGCAGGUUACACUCAAUGAUUGACGGAG
rnacentral:rRNA from 1 species